rnacentral:rRNA from 1 species
AUUCCCUAGUAGCGGCGAGCGAGCGGGAAGAGCUCAAAUUUAUAAUCUGGCACCUUCGGUGUCCGAGUUGUAAUCUCUAGAAGUGUUUUCCGCGUUGGACCGCACACAAGUCUGUUGGAAUACAGCGGCAUAGUGGUGAAACCCCCGUAUAUGGUGCGGACGCCCAGCGCUUUGUGAUACACUUUCAAUGAGUCGAGUUGUUUGGGAAUGCAGCUCAAAUUGGGUGGUAAAUUCCAUCUAAAGCUAAAUAUUGGCGAGAGACCGAUAGCGAACAAGUACCGUGAGGGAAAGAUGAAAAGCACUUUGGAAAGAGAGUUAACAGUACGUGAAAUUGUUGGAAGGGAAACGCUUGAAGUCAGACUUGCUUGCCGGAGCUUGCUUCGGUUUGCAGGCCAGCAUCAGUUUUCCGGGGUGGAUAAUGACGGUUUGAAGGUAGCAGUCUCGGCUGUGUUAUAGCUUUCCGUUGGAUACAUCCUGGGGGACUGAGGAACGCAGCGUGCUUUUUGCGAAAGACUCGUCUUUUUCACGCUUAGGAUGCUGGUGGAAUGGCUUUAAACGACCCGUCUUGAAACACGGACCA